AUAAUAAAAAAUGGUAGUUGGGUACUCUAUAGCAAAUAAUUUGAUUUAGAAUGUACAACAAAUAUGAAAACGCGUGAACGAUUAUCUCCCUUUUGUGGAACUCUCCUGCUGAUAAAGAACAGAAAGUUGCUGUUGCAGCAGAAGUCGGAGAAGAAAAACACCAUGUAACGAUGUUUAAAGCAGGUCUUGUGCGGUUACAGAGGACAUGACAGCAUCAAGAGUUUGUAGGUGACUGAAAAGAGAAUCAUGAUGAUAAUCAGUUGCAAUGUGAACUACCAAAUAACCAUGAAGUACAAGCAGAUCCAAUUAAUGUGGAACAAAUAAAGGAGAAUCAUGAUGAUGAUGAGUUGCUAUGUGAACUACCAAAUAACCAUGAAGUACAACCAGAUUCAAAGCAUAUGGAACAAAUAGAGGUGGAAUCAACUUCAGAUGACAACUUUUCCAAACACCUUGUGAAAGUCAUCUGAAUGCCAGGAUUCUCAAGAGCAUGAAGAUAGUCCAUUACAUAGAAGGAAGACCUUGAUUAUGUAUCUUGAUGCCAUUGGUGAAAAGGCAGAGGUCUAACACUGACUGUGAAGAAAAUGACUUGACAGCUGAAGGGAACAUGAACAAUUUGAAUCAGAUUUCUGAUAGGGCUCUUAAAGCAGUGAACUAAAAAACAUUUUCUUACUAAGUUUAAGAUUUUGAUAUCAAAGUUUUUGGAAGGGGGAUAUAGGAAUCACCC